rnacentral:tRNA from 1 species
GGCGCCGUGCCUGAACCAAAGGGCCACUUUGAUAGAGUGAACUAUGAGGGUUCAAGUCCCUCCGGCUCCU